rnacentral:rRNA from 1 species
UUCAUGGAGAGUUUGAUCCUGGCUCAGGACGAACGCUGGCGGCGUGCCUAAUACAUGCAAGUCGAGCGAACCGACGGGAGCUUGCUCCCUUAGGUUAGCGGCGGACGGGUGAGUAA